CUGAUCAGGCGUAUUGGGCGAACGUUCGUGCAACGAGCCCUUCUUCAUACAGCCAUUAAUGAUGUGAUGAAGAUGCGCCAUUGUCAG
rnacentral:ncRNA from 1 species